rnacentral:lncRNA from 1 species
CUGCUCGCUGCCUGUCGCGCGCGCGCGCGCGGGCACACACAGACACACACACUCACACACACACACAGAGAGACACACACACACACAUGCACACAUUUUUCUCGCGCUCUCCCUAGCUCUCCGCUCUCCUUUGUUUAUUUUCUAAUCUGGAUUUUGUUGGUUGCGCUCUUCUUUGCUUCUCCUCCGGUCCAGCUUGCCAGCACUCCCGUGGGCCACCCAGUGCUCGCCUGCUGCUCCCAAAUCAGCGUCACCCGGUCCCCUCCUCCCGGCCUCCUGGAGCGCGGGGUUUGAAGGUCACCUCCUUUCUAGUUCCCCCUGCGAGCCGAGCCGCCUCCACCCUCCUCCGUCUGGAUCCCAGAAGUGUCAGUCGCAGCGGCUGAUACCUCGGAUAGGGGUCCGCGCGUGGUAGCAGGGAGGGGAGCCCGAACUCAGAGUCGAGGGGGAAUUACUCCCUCUUCUUAUCGCGCCAGACCCGGCUGCACCACGGAAGAGUGGGGGCGCUCUGCCAGCCACAGGACCCACGCGUGCGCCUCGCGGACCCGAGAAACCACCAGUGAGUCGCUCAGCUCGCAUCUGGAGGGGACAGCCGUGCGCCCCGCCCCAGCGUCCGGAGCCGACAACUCCGAGCGUCCUCCCAGCUCAGGACAGAUCUGAGAGGACCUAGCGCAUCUCCAGAUCCCGGAAACCCCUGCGCUUCAGACCAGGUGGCCUUGGACACCAGGGCCCCUUAGGAGUGAUCCGGACCUUCGCCGCGCCCAGUAGUAGGGCGCGGCUGACCUGCCGCGAAGUUGUGGCCAGCUGGAGUGAGAGAAGCCAACAUCCUAAUUCGUUGCCUCUGGUGGAUGCUGAACGCGGCUGGGGUCACACAGAGAACUGAGGAAUCCAGGAGCAGGCAACAACUGCCAAGCUCGCCAGGAGUUCUAGGAAACAGCUCAAAGACCUCAUGAAAGUGGGACUUACAGCUUCCUUGAUCAGGCUCAGCAUUCAGUAAGUGUGACCCAUUUGAGGUACUCAUUGUGGGAAUGCAUGUUCUUCUUUGAUCUCAUCUCUAGCAGACUCUUCUGCAUGCCCAGCCGUUCCCUCAGAAACUUGCUGUGCGCCUGCUCUCUCUGCUUGACACUGCUGUGUUUGGUUCAGAGUUAAGAAGGGAGAUUGCUC